UGCCAUGGGGGAAGGUUCUCUGCUGUGGUUCUGUGGUUUUUGUUGUCAGUGUUCUACAUCAGAGCAUCAUGUAAAGUGAGUUAAAGAGUUUGAGUUCUGGUUCUUGUCCUGCCUUUAUGGGCAUUUUGGGUUCUCAGGUAGGAGAGGAGCAGCAGCAUUCCUGGAGUACAGAGGAGGGAAGGUGGAGCUCCUGGCUGGACCGAAGCAGAGGGCGGAAGGAAGCGGCGGCCCCACAGUGUGGCAGCAGCGCCAUGGCCGGCCCUAUAACCGCCCUUAUGGGCGUUGUGCUCGGGGCUCUGUUCUCCCCUAUGGGAACCUUCAACAUCCAUCCAACCCCACAGCAGGUCCUGGAGGUCGCGGGGACCCCCAGCUUUGGUUAUGGGGUGCUGAUGCUGUCAGAGGGAUGGGUGGUUGUGGGGGCUCCAAAUGUGGGGCGGUUGUAUGGCUGCCAGGUGCAGAAUGGGGAGUGCAGGGAAGUGGAGUUAUGGGGGAACCGCAGCGCUGCCCAUAUGGGAAUGGCUCUGAGCCGGGAUGGGAACAACAACAUCGCUUGUGGCCCCGGGCUGAGGUGGGAAUGCAACCACAACAUCCACGUUGGGGGGGUCUGCACCGUGCUGGACCCCGAACUGCGGCCGCUGCAGGUGUUGGAGGCUGGAUAUCAGGGCUGGGUUCCCAGCAUGGUGGACCCAGUGUUCCUGUUUGACGGCUCUGGCAGUCUGAAAGCACAUGAGUUCAAGGCCAUCCGGGAUUUCAUGGUGGAGGUGAUGGAGCAGCUGAGCAACAGCUCCUUCAGGUUCGCAGCCGUGCAGUUCUCCGAUUCCCCGGAGCCGGUUUUCUCUCUCCGUGAUUACUCGGAGCGGCCGCAGCCCCGGGAGCUGCUGCGCGACGUCCGGCAGCAGGGCGGCUUCACCGACACCUUCACGGCCGUCCAAUAUGUCGCAUGCGUGUCAGCUGACCGCCCCACGUGACCGCCCGCCCGUCACGUGACCGCCCGCCUCCCUGCGCUCGCUGUGUCUCCUGGCACCCUGUCACGUGACCGCCCGUCUGUGACUUCGGGCCACAUGACCAACUGUUGCUGACUUCCUGUCACGUGACCGCCCGCCUGUCGCGUGACCGCCUGUCUCUGACUUCGUGUUGUGUGACCGCCUGUCUGUCACGUGACCAUCUUGUCUGUUGUGUGACCACCUGUCCGGUGACUUCCUGUCACGUGACCGCCUGUUUUCGUGUGACCUCUGUGACCACCUGUCACGUGACCGCUUUGUCUGUCACGUGACCACCUGUCUGAGUUCCCUUCACGUGACCACCUGACUGGAGCAGAUCUUCACAGUGGAGAACGGCCACCGGCCCUGCACCCGCCGGGUUCUCAUCAUCAUCACCGACGGCGAUGCCACCGACAGCAGCA